GUGUAAUGGUAUUUCCCGCGGUUAUUUUUGUACAACUUAUAAAUAAAAUACGGUAUGACUAUCACUUGCCACUAUGUACCUAACAGAAUGAACAAUUUUGCAAAGACUCACUCAGUGUAAGUAUAUCGAUACGGUGAAUUAAUUAACAUGAAAAAACUCUGUAAUUUCUAAAUAAUUUUACUGGACACAAAACACACGGGCACCUGGUAAUUUUUUUUUAGAUAAUCUGCCUUUCCUGAUUUUCCUGAUAUUUUGAGUGGCGAAUCCAUAACUUUUUCUAGGGGGGGGGGCUGCUCCAGUCAUGCUCCAAUGAUUCCCUAUAUAAUCAUAGAAUCAACCAAAUUUUCCCCACAAAAGGGGGGGGGCGGCAUCUAUUGUGGCUCCAUUGAUGAGGGUGGUAAAGGGUUAUUUUCGUGCACCGUUUUCGGCCUUUUUAUAUCACGUGUUUUUGUGUUUUGGCGUUUUAUUUCUCAUUUUCUCGUGUUUGGUUCGACGUGCGUGCUUCGUGUUUUCCCUUAUUCAUUUACCGUGUUUCGUGUCGGUACUCUAGCUUAUUUUCUCGUGCAUGCUAUUUGCCACUGGACGUUAAGCAACCAACAAUCAAUCAAUCUCGUGCAUGCUUGUCCAUCAUUUCAUAAAAUAGUAAACCAGGACUAAAUUCAAAGUCAGUCCCAAGACUGUUUUAAAUUAUGUGUUCUCAGGAUAUUAAUCGCUAUCGAAUCACUAUGAAUAUUUUUUUUCAAAUCAGAUGCAACUUGCGGAUGCUAAAAGGUGUCCACAGGGUAGUCAUGUCCAUUAAUAAUGACUGCCUGAUCUCCAAGAACGACAGAGUAAUAACUUCUAGUACUUUUUGCCUAAUGUUUGCAAUUUUAUUUCUCGUGCUUCGUUUUUCCCGAUUUUUAUUUUCCGUGCUACGUUUUUUUAUAUUUUCAUUUCACGUGUUUCCGUGUUCAGGACCCCCCUUUACCACCCUCAUUGAUUGUUUAUACAGAGAGCACACAAGAUCAUGUAAAUUUAGAAUGUCCAAUGGUAGAUGGAGAAACAGCACUGUAUAUAAAAAGAGCACCUAGAUUCUACCUGUGAAAAUAUGGUUCCUUUUUCAAAGGAGGUUUAAGGAUCAGUUCAAUUAUAUUAGAUAGUUUAUAAAACAAUUAUGUAAUUAUGUAAAAUUUGGUUGAUUAUAUUGGGAAUCAUUGAAGCAUGACUGGAGCGGGCCCCCCUUAGGUCAGUCAGCGGGCCCCCCCCCCCCCUUAGGAAAAGUUCUGGAUCCGCCACUGUUAUGGGAGUCUUCAACAGUUCACUUGCAAAACAUAAUAUUAAUUUUGGGUAUGGACUUAACUACUGCGGGUUACCCGAAUUAACAAGGGGCGGAUUUGACUUGUUAUGCCAUAUUAACUAUCAAAGGUGGCUUAGGUGCCCAUUUGACCAGGUUUCCAAACAUGGCAAAAAUGACUAGAAUUCAGACACAGUGUUAAAUAAAUUAAGAUAUAUACAUUUUUGUGUUGGAAAUGCACACUACACUGGCAGCUUUAUUAACUAAGCUACAUUAGAUUGUAACUUGAGUUAUAUUCCUUGUGACUAAUUAUACAUGUGUUAAAAAUAAUACAAUUUUGAAUAAUAAUAUUGAAAAUAAGGAGAUCAAUGUAGUAUGAUUGCCUAUGAGAUUACUAUCUACUAAUGUUUAUAUGAACUGGAUUUAAGCAUCUAUAUAGGACACCUUAAUACCUUUAACAAUGAACAAAGCUCAUACUGUCAGCUACAAAAAAUGUAUAACUGUCAGGCCAUCAAGGCUUGACAUGACAAAAUGUAAAAUGAUUUGCCAAAAUAAAUCAAAUAUGUAGACUGCAUCAAACAACAACUAAAUCUCAUCCGGACUUGGAACAGGCAUAAAUAGAAUGUUGUGACUGUUGUGUAACAGCACAAAAGAGGAACAAAGUGGUGAAAUCAGUUAGAAAUUGUUUUGAUUCAUUGAAUUGGUACAAAGCUAAACAAAUCUAACAUGAAGACAAACAAUCAAAACUUAAUAGUACUUUCAGUUAUUGAAAGCUCAUUAAAAGCUAAUAAAAACUCAAACAUUAUAUAUAAACCAUGUUUUCCCGUACACAUAUAUAUAUAUGUAUAGAUGUAAUUAUCAGAGAAAUUCGUUUUACAAUUUUUGUUUAACAUGUUUAAUUAUCUAUAACUGAUAUAUUUUUUAUUAAAGUUUCCAAGCAAGUCAAUACAUGCAAUAACAAAAAACUUUUGGGACAGAAGACACUGUUUAAAAAACGUGACCAAAGAAAAGAAAAGGAAAUGUACUUGUAAUCGACACUGGAGAAAAAAUGGACUCUUCAGGUAAGAAGUUUUAUUCUGCAAUAACUUUUGUUUAAUAGUUAAUCUGUUUUUGAAUAAAAGAAUGUGUAAAGUAUAUUUUAGUGGGACAGCAUCCCAACAAACAAUAAAUCUGAAGAGAUAUCAAGUGGUAAAUAUUUUGCUUACUGAAAGUUAAUACCAAAUGUGCCAUGCUAUAAAUUAUCCUUAAUCUGAAGAAGGUAUGAAUAUAUGCAACAGGAGUUUUACAGAAAAAAUCUGUCCUUUAUUAUGUCUAUAUGCUAGCCGCAAAUUUUUCACUGCAUUUGCAUAUCUAGUUAGGUUAGUACUUUUUCAUCUUUUUAAAAUUUUGUCUUGCAAAACAACACAUUGCAGGGAUAAAUAAAGUAAAUGUAACAAGUUUUCAUUUUAUCCAGUUUUUGUCAUGUUUGCACAUUCUCUUUCCCAUACAAUGUUUUGGUGAAGUUAAAUAAUAGUAGUUUGUACACAUGUUGCCACUUGGAAAUAUAAAUGAUAUGGAAAAUAGCAUUGUGAGCUCUCUCAAGCCUAUGUGAGUUGUAGGAUUUUAGAAAUUUACAUCAUUUGUUCAUAAGUAGGAGGCCACUGACUGCCUAAGAGGGCGCCCGCUCCGGUCAUGCUUCAGUGAUUCCCUAUAUAAUCAACCAAAUUUUUACCUGGCCCCACUCUAAAUCCACCUUUGCUAAGACCAGUUCAAUAAUCAGCUUUUCAAUUAUGCAUUGAAAUUCUGUUAAAAAGGAAGGUGUUUGACUUUUUCUAGUUUAAAAAUUAAGUGCUAAGAAACUAUUUUUACAGGAAUUAAUAGUUCCCCUUUAAAAUGGAAAGUAUAAUGAAAAUUGCAUUGUCAAUCUCAAUCCUAUUGUUCAACUUCAUGUUUGUUUUUAUGAUUUUUUUAUCAAAUUCAAAGGUUAGUUUGGCAAGCCAAAGUCAUGGAUGAGUUCAAUAAAUGUUGCAGAUUAGCUUUUUUUGCAGGAGUUAAGCUGCUUUAGAAAACUGCAUUUGUUACUUAUUUCAAGUAUAAUAACUCAUUGAUUUUGCGCAUUUUUUUCAUAAGAAUGUUCAGUAUAUAUUUGCCUUUCCUGAACUUUUAACUUUCAGUUACAUUCAGUUCUUGUGAAAUUCAACAUCUCUUACAUAAACAUCACAAAUGUCUUUUUACUUAAUCACCUUUUUUAUGUUUACAGAAGAAAUUGUCACACAGAAAUAUCUUGGGCAAAGUAAAAAGGAGAAGUAACUCUGCUAGGAAGCAGUUCCAGUCAUUUGUAGCAACAGGACUGUGACGAAUAGAACUUUAAUAUAAACUGAAUCAAAAUAUAGAAUUUACCAAACUUGUGUCAGAUAAUACUCUCAUGCUUCUAUUGGAGGACAUCAAUGAUGAGAAGUGAAGGAAAAGACAAUAAAUGACAGCAUAUCAA
rnacentral:lncRNA from 1 species